rnacentral:rRNA from 1 species
CCUACGGGGAGCAGCAGUGGGGAAUAUUGCACAAUGGGGGAAACCCUGAUGCAGCGACGCCGCGUGAGUGAAGAAGUAUUUCGGUACGUAAAGCUCUAUCAGCAGGGAAGAAAAUGACGGUACCUGACUAAGAAGCCCCGGCUAACUACGUGCCAGCAGCCGCGGUAAUACGGAGGGGGCAAGCGUUAUCCGGAUUUACUGGGUGUAAAGGGAGCGUAGACGGCAGCGCAAGUCUGGAGUGAAAUCCCAUGGCUUAACCAUGGAACUGCUUUGGAAACUGUGCAGCUAGAGUGCAGGAGAGGUAAGCGGAAUUCCUAGUGUAGCGGUGAAAUGCGUAGAUAUUAGGAGGAACACCAGUGGCGAAGGCGGCUUACUGGACUGUAACUGACGUUGAGGCUCGAAAGCGUGGGGAGCAAACAGGAUUAGAUACCCGAGUAGUC